AGCUUGCUACCUGACCUAGCGGCGGACGGGUGAGUAAUGCUUAGGAAUCUGCCUAUUAGUGGGGGACAACAUUCCGAAAGGAAUGCUAAUACCGCAUACGCCCUACGGGGGAAAGCAGGGGAUCUUCGGACCUUGCGCUAAUAGAUGAGCCUAAGUCAGAUUAGCUAGUUGGUGGGGUAAAGGCCUACCAAGGCGACGAUCUGUAGCGGGUCUGAGAGGAUGAUCCGCCACACUGGGACUGAGACACGGCCCAGACUCCUACGGGAGGCAGCAGUGGGGAAUAUUGGACAAUGGGCGAAAGCCUGAUCCAGCCAUGCCGCGUGUGUGAAGAAGGCCUUUUGGUUGUAAAGCACUUUAAGCGAGGAGGAGGCUACUUGGAUUAAUACUCUAGGAUAGUGGACGUUACUCGCAGAAUAAGCACCGGCUAACUCUGUGCCAGCAGCCGCGGUAAUACAGAGGGUGCGAGCGUUAAUCGGAUUUACUGGGCGUAAAGCGUGCGUAGGCGGCUUCUUAAGUCGGAUGUGAAAUCCCUGAGCUUAACUUAGGAAUUGCAUUCGAUACUGGGAAGCUAGAGUAUGGGAGAGGAUGGUAGAAUUCCAGGUGUAGCGGUGAAAUGCGUAGAGAUCUGGAGGAAUACCGAUGGCGAAGGCAGCCAUCUGGCCUAAUACUGACGCUGAGGUACGAAAGCAUGGGGAGCAAACAGGAUUAGAUACCCUGGUAGUCCAUGCCGUAAACGAUGUCUACUAGCCGUUGGGGCCUUUGAGGCUUUAGUGGCGCAGCUAACGCGAUAAGUAGACCGCCUGGGGAGUACGGUCGCAAGACUAAAACUCAAAUGAAUUGACGGGGGCCCGCACAAGCGGUGGAGCAUGUGGUUUAAUUCGAUGCAACGCGAAGAACCUUACCUGGUCUUGACAUAGUAAGAACUUUCCAGAGAUGGAUUGGUGCCUUCGGGAACUUACAUACAGGUGCUGCAUGGCUGUCGUCAGCUCGUGUCGUGAGAUGUUGGGUUAAGUCCCGCAACGAGCGCAACCCUUUUCCUUAUUUGCCAGCGAGUAAUGUCGGGAACUUUAAGGAUACUGCCAGUGACAAACUGGAGGAAGGCGGGGACGACGUCAAGUCAUCAUGGCCCUUACGACCAGGGCUACACACGUGCUACAAUGGUCGGUACAAAGGGUUGCUACCUAGCGAUAGGAUGCUAAUCUCAAAAAGCCGAUCGUAGUCCGGAUUGGAGUCUGCAACUCGACUCCAUGAAGUCGG
rnacentral:rRNA from 1 species